AAGGUGUCGUUUUUCUCCACUCGAGAGAAUACUGGUCGACCUUUUGUGCAAGAACUGCAGCUCUUUUCAUGCUCUGUAGACCCGCUCAAGGAAACCCACAAAAUGAAGUGAGGGAAGAGAAUACCUGUAAAAAAAGGGGGAGAGAAAGGGGCUUAUAAUCAAGAGUAAGAACAAGAAGAAGGAUUCCUGGGCAGCGCUCCAAGAUAUAUUGGCGGAAGUAUUGCCACAAACUCAGAGGUUACAGGUGCAUCUAUUGCUGCCACUGCUGCCUCUCAUGGGAUGGAAGUAGCAGUAGAGCAAGGUAUGGCUUCAGCCUUCAUUGGCUAGGGUCCACACUGGGCAUAGUUGGAUUAGCAAUUGACAAAUUUUGAGGCAGUGUCAGAUUGUUUUGGCCCCCAUGUACAAGAGUUGAGGAUAUGUAACAAAUUGACAUUAAAAAGAAAAAAAAAAAAAAGAAAAGAAAAGAAAAGAAAAAAAGAUCAAAUUGUAGAGUAUUUUUCUUUUUUAAUCCCCAGAGUAAUUAAAUUAAGGAGUAAAGGCUGAAAUCACUACUCCUUUCUUCGAGUAAUUCUAUCCGUCUAACAUAAGUCCAACAAUCAUCCAACUUUGUUGACGUGGUACUAUGCCACGUCAGCCCUCAUUUAGAAAAAAAAAAAAAAAUUCAAAAUCAGCGUGAUCUGCGUGAAAAUAUACCCAUUUUACAAUUUUCUUCCUCAAACCAUUUUCCCCACAAAUCUCUUCAUCCCUUUCUCCAUCUGAAUUAGGAUCCUCUCCAGUUGUACUUCAACUAGAGAGGAGCCAGUCUCUUAUGUUGAGGGGUAUUUUGGUAAUUUCAGUGUAAAAUUACCAAAAUACCCCUCAACAUAAAGGACUGGCUCCUCUCCAGUUCCUCUCAACUGGAGAGGAUCCAGUUCCUCUCCAUCUCCUCCCUCAACCCCAUCUACUGCCACCCACAACCACCACCACCGUCGAACACCCACGAGCCCGCCACUCGUACGGACGUACAGCAGCAUCUCCGAAUCUCCGGCCAUUUGCUUCAUCUCGAACAGUGGGUCCAGCUCCAUCUCCAUCUCCGGCCAGCUCCACCGUGCGUUCUCCAUCUCCGGUUCGGCUCUGACGAUCUGACAACCCAACCACCGUACCGCCACGAGCAGCCCCAGCCGAACCACCACCACUGCCGACGAGCCCAUCCACCGUCUUGCCUAUGUCCCUGAGCACUCACUGAAGAUCAAUGCAACUUCCAGCAUUUCCACAGCGAUUGUUUAGGAUUGGACUAUUUUAAUUUCCAUUUUUACCACAUUGUUUUGAGCAGGGAAAAGAAGUUUGAUGUGUUAACUUACCCAUUAAACCGGCAUUAAGCUUGUCUUGCCAUCCAGAAAAGUUGCACCAAUACAUGUUUGUCUCUCUCGAGUGAAGUUGGAAAAGUAGAAUCUGGAAGAUGCCUUUGGAUUCUGGGUGUAGUGUUAUUUUCUUAAGUUAAGAGAGUAGUGGUGGGGGCUAUGCAUAAGCCUGUAGCUGGAGAUUCAUGCAAAUAUAAAGGACAUCUGCUUAUGCUA